ensembl:lncRNA
AGAAGUUUAGUUGAGGACAGAGGGAGUUUCCGAGGGCAUAGUGGGAGAUUUUGGUAAGGAUAUAGAACCCAUGUAGGCGUGCUGCUAUGUGUCCAGGGGGGACUCCGAGCUCAGCAGAUCUUCAUUAUUACUAUCGUGGUCAUUAAUUUUCAGGUCAGGCUGCUGAUGUUAUGGAUGGGGAAAGGGCAUUAUUUCACUUGUCAUGUGAUGCUGUGAUUAUCCUUUUCCUGGUCUCCCUACAGGGCUGGGAGCCCCUGGAGAGCAGGGUCCUUGGAAUCCCCAACAGCCAGCACGACGCUUAGCCCGGAGGAUUUAUCAGAUGGCAUGUGUUGAGUGAAAAAGGCUCAGAGAGACAUGCUGACUUACCUACGGUCACAAAAUCACCUGGAUUCCUGGCUCUCAGUUUUCGUUGCGCGCUUGCAAAUCUAAAUUCCUCUAAUUCUUGGAGUGCUUGCUUCUUUCCUUUAUCUCUUUCCCUUUGGCCUAUUUAUUUUCCAGUGAGAUCCGUAGCCCCAGAUGGGAUUCGAAACCCAGAACCUCCAUCAAUGUUCAAAGCGUCCUUCUUUUUGCUCAUGUGUGAUCUUCAAAGGGCCCUUUUCUCCCACAGUGAUCUUCCCCGGGGGGAUCCUGGCAGGCCCUAAGAUAAGAACCGCAGGCUGGCUAAAUGGGUUUUCUCGGCUAAUAGAAUAAACAGGCAAGAAAGUAGGGAAAGAGGCAGGUAACUCUGGGGCUCCUUUGUCGAGUGUUUUGGACUUCGCACUGGGGGCUUCCUAAGUCCAUUAGCCUCUGUUAAUUUCUCUCAUGCUUCCUGGUGAAGGGGAUGGAACUGGAUGGAAAUACUCCUUAAGUGGGGUGACUCACACCCGAAACUGACAGGCUGGGCUAAACCCAUCUGGGAAAAGAAAAGCACCUUCUCAACCCCUCCAAACGAUUUGAGGAGUAGGAGGAGAGAGAACCCCAUGCUCCAAUGCCAAAUUCUUGAUCACAGAUUCCCUUCUGAGAUGCUGUCAGCUGGGCGCUUAGAGCAACCCCUCUUCAAGCCGGGAUUUGGAAAGUGCUGGUUCUAACUGACGGAAUAUUAAUUGGCUGGGGCUCCAAACAGAUGAAGACACGAGGCUGUCAUCACACAAAUGCUUGUCUGAGUUCAUCCCCCGUGCACAGCCAGCAGUCCUGGCCCCGGGAGAAACACCCACUGUGCUGCCCAGAGUUCUCCUCGGAAAGUGGACUUGUUUGGCCUCAAGGCCAGUUAGUCACAGGGUGGCACAGGAACCUGUGGGUGAGCAGGUGACUGGAGACGUCGGGGGAAAGGGGGUGCCUAGAUGCAUGACCCUGGGGAGACGGAAAAGGAAGGUCAGGAGCCCUUCUGGUUAAAGGCUUCGGAGACCGACUUGCUGGUGUUUCGCCGCUCAGCACAUGUUCACGUAAGUACUUUUCGUGUACUGCAGAGGUCAAAACAGAUGCGGCCCUUGUCCUUGGAGGCUUAUGGUUUAUCGGGGGAUACAGAUAUUAAACGGCUAAUUAUUCAGAUGAUUAUUUAAUUACAAUUGUGGAUAAACGCCACGAAAGGGAAGUUCAGAGUGAUAGGAGACGGAAUCACCGUUGGAUCUAAUGUGAUUUUGGGGUGGGCGUCCUUGAGGAGGAUGUUAGAGACAGGACUGGGGAACAGCCAGGUGUAAGAUGGGAAAAGGCUGCAGUGGGGCAGAGGGCAUAGUGGCUUUCAAGGCUCAGAAAAGGGCCACACAAGAAGACCAGCGACGGUGACGUGCAGACAACGAGCAAGACGUGAACUUGAAAGAUGGGGCAUCUGCCGAUGCAUCUUCCACCUUCCCUUCAAA